AGGGCACCACCAGGAGUGGAGCCUGCGGCUUAAUUUGACUCAACACGGGAAAACUCACCCGGCCCGGACACUGGAAGGAUUGACAGAUUGAGAGCUCUUUCUUGAUUCAGUGGGUGGUGGUGCAUGGCCGUUCUUAGUUGGUGGAGUGAUUUGUCUGGUUAAUUCCGAUAACGAACGAGACUCUAGCCUAUUAAAUAGAUCGUUGGCUUACAAACGCCGGCGAGACUUCCUAGAGGGACAGGCGGCGAUUCAGCCGCACGAAACAGAGCAAUAACAGGUCUGUGAUGCCCUUAGAUGUCCGGGGCCGCACGCGCGCUACACUGAAGUGAUCAGCGUGCAUUUUGAAACCUACUCUGUCAAGAGUGGGGAACCCAAUGAACCUUCUUCGUGAUUGGGAUAGGGGAUUGUAAUUAUUCCCCUUGAACGAGGAAUUCCCAGUAAGCGCGAAUCAUAAGUUUGCGCUGAUUACGUCCCUGCGCUUUGUACACACCGCCCCGUCGCUACUACAGAUUGAAUGUG
rnacentral:rRNA from 1 species